rnacentral:rRNA from 1 species
UGCGUAGGCGGCGCGCUAAGUCAGUGGUGAAAGCCUCCCGCUCAACGGGAGAAAUGUCAUUGAUACUGGCGUGCUUGAGUACGGACGAGGUAGGCGGAAUUUAUGGUGUAGCGGUGAAAUGCAUAGAUACCAUAAAGAACACCGAUAGCGUAGGCAGCUUACUAGACCGUAACUGACGCUGAGGCACGAAAGCGUGGGGAGCGAACAGGAUUAGAUACCCUGGUAGUCC